rnacentral:miRNA from 1 species
AGUGAGUUGAUCAAUAAGUUCAUUUGGGUCUUCCCAUAAGAUGUAAUGGAAAAACCCAAAUGAACUUUUAGCCAACCCAAU